rnacentral:rRNA from 1 species
CAUUUUCUUCCUGCUGAAGAGCUUUACUACCGAAAUACUUCUUCACUCACGCGGCGUCGCUGCAUCAGGGUUUCCCCCAUUGUGCAAUAUUCCCCACUGCUGCCUCCCGUAG